rnacentral:lncRNA from 1 species
GUAGAAGGAAUCACUGAGCACGCUGACUUGAAGAGGUCUUAGCAGGUUCCCCUUAUGGGGUGCUAGAAAGGGGACAUGAAUUCAGAAAACUUUACAAGCACUUCUGAAAAUCCCACUAAUACUAUCACUGAAGCACCUGGGCUAUACAAAAAACAGAAAGGAAGUGAAAUUCUACACAGGUAAGAAUGAAAAUUAGCUAUCUAAAAGAUGACCAGUAUUUAGGAGCAC